UACGUAGGGGGCAAGCGUUGUCCGGAAUCACUGGGCGUAAAGGGUGCGUAGGCGGUCUCGCAAGUCUGGCGUGAAAGCCCAAGGCUCAGCCUUGGAAGUGCGCUCGAAACGGCGAGGCUGGAGUGCCGGAGGGGAGAGUGGAAUUCCCGGUGUAGCGGUGAAAUGCGCAGAUAUCAGGAGGAACACCGGUGGCGAAGGCGGGUCUCUGGGCCGAUACUGACGCUGAGGAGCGAAAGCGUGGGGAGCGAACAGG
rnacentral:rRNA from 1 species